GGCAUCCACGCUGCCGCUGUAGACCAUCCCCACGAGGGCACGAGGCCACGACCUCUUUGCCGGUGUCGCCGCGACCCACCCUCUCCGUCGAUGUAGCCACGGCCCGCCAUCCCUGCCUCCACCGCCGCGUCCGUCACGCGCCUCCGUUCCGAGCCCGCCGUCACAUGCCUCUGGUCUUUCUGCUCCACGUGCCCCAAGCGCCUCCCGUCCUUCUGCUCCACGAGCCCCAAUCGCGUCGCCGCGGGAGCCACUGUAUGCAUACACCAUGGAGAAAGCAAGCGCAACCGUCGCCGUCACCAUGGAUGAUCCAAGUGCAACCCCGCCAAGGAGGCCUCAAGGCGUGAGUACAACCUUAAAUUCUUUACAUGAAGCCAAUUUCGGGGUUUCUGGAUUCUUCAUAUUAGCAGUAUCAAAUUUUCCAAUGGCAAAGAAUUUGAUUCUAUCCUGGAACAACAACUCAUCCAGGAGGUUUAUAACUAACUUAUGUUAUAUUGAGAUUGCAACCAGAUUCCCCUAAAAAAGAGAUUGCAACCACAUUCCCGUAAAAAAAGAGAUUGCAACCAGAUUGAUAUAAUAACUUUAUCUGCUAUUGACCUAUGAGAUGCCAACUAGAGUACCCGACUGUUUUAAUACUAACAUUUUUUGUAUCUGCUAAGCUGAGAGAAGAAAAGGUGAACUAUCACUUUCAAUUUUCUCAGUCCCUGUCGUUCAGUUAUUGCAACAUUUGCUUUAUUACAAAGUUGAACUCUUGUUUUCCCUGACUCAAGUGUACUGUCGUCAAUUCAAAGUACAGGUUUAGUUAUAGUUCAUUUUGAACAAUAUGCCAAGAAUAAUGUAUAAAGGUACAAAUUUCAGCAAAAUAUUUUCAAAAGUUUUAAAUAUAUAUUUACAUGCACCAUAAACAGUUCUUAAUAUACUUCGAUGAAGUUAUGUGCUAAUGUUCAGUUGACUAUGCACAAAUCACCUAAGAGGGUUUUCAGAAAUAUUGUAUGUGCAGAGGGUUUGAUCUGAUCAUUGGAUUUUCUGAUGUGGCGGCUUUUAAAACCAUUACAAAAGGCCUGGUUCAACUGUCUCCAGCCAUUCUAGACCUUCCUCAUUUGGGUACAAAGUGCAGAUGCUUUCAGGAACUUUGGUUUACAAUGCUCGGAAAGGUCAAAAGUAAUACUACUUUCUGGUUAUCUCAUUCUUAAUAUUCAGAAUGAACAUCAAGAUGGAGGAAAGGGGAGAAAGCCAUAGAGAUUACAAAUUUUAUAUUGCUGACACAAUAUUUAUUCUGAUAUUUGGAGGCAUGUUGAUUCAUAACAAGUGGUAAUUCAGGUUAUCUGUAUUAAUUCUGAAUUACGCGCUUUCCAUCAAAUCCUUGGUUGACAUGAUAUAUAACUUAUUACGCUUGGCAUGCAUUUAAUUUAAUAUAUACUUAGACGUGCAUUCAGUUCAUUUAGUUAUCAUAUGAACCCGAAAUAAACACACCUGAAUUUACUUUGCUCUACUGUUGGUUACACCUAAACUUGUCUGAGCCAGAUUUUCUAUGUUCGCUUUUUCAUCAUAAUCGUCCCCCUCUCUAUGCUAUUGUUGUGAUAAUCUUUGAAGUGUGCAAGGAUGUGCUUGGCCUAAAGACAGAAUAAAAAAUAUCCGUUGGUAGGAAGUUGAAGUGUCAUUAAUUCAUCAGGGGAUAAGUAAAUAGUCGAUAUGCCAUUUUCAUCAAAGAAUUCUCAUUAAGCAUGAGAGUUAAGGUCCUGGUCAAAGUGUUGAGUUGUAAAAGCUCCCUGUAUAAUCUCUAUCUCUAUGUCUACUUAUAUAAAAGCAAGAACCGUGUGGGAUACAUUUAAUAUCAGCCGUUAAACCAUCAAAACCCAAGUGGUCAGAUCGUUUCCAUGUUGAGUACCUCAACAUAUUUAGCAACUCCCAGGUCCGCUAAAAAUGUAAUUCCCCGCAAAUACCCUCUACGUUGGCCUCUGCGUGUUACUCAGAUCACCUCCACCAAAGAUUCUCGUUGUUUCCCAAUCAACAUCGUUCUCUGCCGCACCUUCCUCAGCAGUCGCCCUCCAUCCUGCCAUUCUAGGCGGUCUUCCUCCGCAGCCCGCGUGGCCCAACCAUCCUGCUCUACCGUCACCGACGAUGCCGUCAAGGGCGUCCUUCUCUCCCAUCUGUCAUCGAGGCCAGCCGCCGCGAUCCGGUCCUCGUGGACUGAAGAAGCAUGAAGGAAAAUUGAUGGCACUGUCCAGUACAUGAUCCUUUCACACACGGAAGCUGAUGACUGAUCGCACAACAUGUACUUAAACGGUGCCAUAUUGCAUAUAAAGUAAUUGUGUGGCAACUGGUUUCAGCGUGAAGGGAAGAUGUCUUCGGUGUUUUUUAUGUGCCUUGCACUAUAGUCCUUUUGCCGGCACGGACGGGGUACUUGUCCGACUGGAUGUACAGGAAGAUAGCUCCGUAGAGGUCAACGCGUCGCCCCCGCCGACUCCCAACUGUUAUAAGCAUGCCGACCAUGAGGACCGCUUGGUCAGGUGGGAUCUGCAGUGUCUCCACCCGUCAACAAUUAACCUUUGCAUUUUGGUUCAGAUGUGCUAUAAAAGUUCUAUAGUGUGGUUUAAAUUUAAUCAUUCAAGGCAUGAGCAGCAUGAUAAUGCCCCUUACACAAGGAUCACUUGAAAGCAAAUGAUUUGUAUAUCUUUCCUUGACAUCCGGAAAUUAUUCGAUAUCAACCUUACCUGUGUGCAGUUUUUUUAAUUUUAGGAGCCAAGUUGAUUAUGUAUAACGGUUAGUAUAUUAUAUUAGGCACACAGGUAAAUUAGGCUUAUUGGUUCAAAUAUCAUGGGUAUUUCACAUCCUGACUAAAUAUUUUCUGAAAAAGUAGCAAUAUGCCAAGAAGGUUAAGAAUACUUGGAGAGCACAAGGAACAUGUUCCUAAUCAGGCAACCAUCUUAGAUGCAGAGAAUGCUUUAUUUGUGGACUGGAAGGAUUUGAAGAUGGAUGGAUACAACAGAUGCAGAGAACUACAUGUUUUUCCGGCAAUAAUGGAAAUGUCAGAAGAAAUGUUUAACAUUGUUAUCUGCAGACAAAUAAAUGAUGGUACGAUUUUUGUUUUGGAUCAUUAAUUAGAAGUUUCAGCCCAUGUCAUGAGUCAUGAUUAAGUUUGUUAAAUUCUUGCUUAUGAUAGGACUGAUAUAUUGCCUUUCAGUAGGCUGGCGCCAGUUCGCAAUGUAUCAUUAUAAUAAGUGAAGAGUAUUUAUUAUCAGGAUGGGAGAAAUAAUUACAUUUAUCUUUCACGUUAAAACAUUGUCUUGGAUUUUUGUACAAAAGAAUCUGACUGAUGUUGCUCUUUAUACUGUAAUAUAGACAUGGGUGGGUACCUUAGAAAA